AGAAGCUUCUGCUCAACCAGCACUCACGCUAGGUAUUAGCAGAGCAGGACAGGGCUCAGGUCACAGCAGCAGAACUGGGAAGCCACCUGUGACUCAAGUCUACCUGCCUCGUUGGGACCAGAUAAGGCUGGUUGUUCCUGGAUGACAGAGCCUCCCACCGCAUCACUGCUACCAACUUCUUUGCAAUGUCAAACAGCUAAGCGGUAACUGCUGUCUUCACCUGGAGUCUGAAUGACUGCCCUAGAGCCUGAGGUGCGCGCGCACACACACACACACACACACACACACACACACACGUGUUCACACAAAUGUAUGCAUACAUAGAUACAUAUGCAUACACUUUUGCAUGCACACACAUGAGUAUACACAAAUGUAUGCAUACCUAUGUAUAUGCAAUACACUUCUGCAUGCACACACAUGUGUUUACAUAAAUGUAUGUGUAUGUAGAUACAUGCACAUACUUCCAUGCACGCACAUAGGGAAGAUGGGUCAGGGGUUCUGGGAGGAUGCUCGAUCCUGGAUAUGCCAUAGGCUCAGCAGUCAGGGGUUCCUGACCCCCUGGGAUCUCCACAUUCUCUUUCUUGGUCUGCUCUCACACUUUGUCUAUACAGUGGACACACACGCACGCACGCACGCACGCACGCACGCACAUCCCAUGGGAGCACUGAAAUGAUGCUUGAAGUAACAACUGCUUGUGGCACAUCUCCAGGAGGUGUUUCUAGCAUGUGUCAGACUGUGCCCAAUUGGUUAAGUGAGGCAGAGGCACAGGGGACCAUGAGCACAGCUGGAGGGACCCCAACUCAGCCCUACCAUGCUGCCCGGCCCAGCCCAUGAUUCUUGUUAGGCUGCUAUCAGUGUCUUCCCAACCCCCUCCUGUGCCUCAGUUUCCCCACAUAGAAGUGUCCUCUUGGCUCUGGCUGUGCUUUGGCCCACAGGCUCUGUCUCCACUUGGUUCUCUGGCUGACUGAGCUGGACAUGGAGACCAGGCUGAGGGAGCCGUCCAGGAAGGUUGAUACUUCCUUUGCCUCAUUGCAAGGUUGAGACAAGAGCAGGAGAAGGCAGAGGGUGUGGCACAGGCAACCAAGGAGCUGGGAGUUUCCCACAGGGGGAAGAAUGCCUGGCAGAGGUGGCGCAGGGCCCAGCCGUGCCUUGCAGGCCUGGGAGCCACUUCAUGUGAAGCUGCCGGUGACGAGAAGAAUCUCCCUGGAACCCAAGUGUUGGCACCAAAGUCCUGCCGCGCCUGGAGACAGGUAGGGUGUGGACUCUAUUAAUGAUGUCGCAACUCCAGACACAAUUGAGUCUGUGCUCUCAGCUGGGCUGGGCCGGGCAGCAUGGCGGGCAGGGCCAGCUGUGCGGCUGUGGAAGGUUUCCAGGCCCGCCACGGGGAGGUGGGAUGCACCCAGAGUGAAUGAUCUUCACUUGACUCUGAGGUUCUCCUCAAUCCUCUCCACCCUCCCCACCUAACAGACACCAGCUCUGGUCCCCAAGCAGAUAACAGAAGCAGGACUGGAGGAGGGACAGGGAGGAGAACAGCCAGACCCCUGGCCAGUCUUUCCUCCUGCCGGUGGAUGCCUUCUCUUAUUACUCUGAGGCCAACAAGGUCACUCCAGGAAGAUGCUCUCCCUACCCAACAAACAGCACACUUACCCCACACCAACAGGCAUGCAGGGCAAGGGGAGCGUCUGUGAACCCCCAUUAGUUCCACAUGAAAUGAGAAGGCCUUGAUCGUCCUGCCCCCGGCGACAGCAACGGAAGCACACAGGGGCUUGCUGGGUGGGUAGACCUCCCUACUUUACAUUCAGACCACCAAGGCAGUUCCUCCAGGUGCCUGCGAACAGCCAUCCUUCCCCUUGCCUGGGAAGUAAACUCCGAGAGUUGUUUCCAUAAAGCCAAUGGGCUGUGACUGCACACAAGCAAAACUGUCAUGAAACGUUAUUGCCUUGAGAUAUGGUGGCACCGGAUGGCGGCGGCACCGGAUGGCACUGGGUGGUGGGCGGCCAGCUGUAGGAGCAGAUGCUUCAGCAAGGACAGGGACAACCCCCGCUGGGUAGACGCUGGUUGCCUUGGCUGCUCCCCCGUCCCCUUCAGUUACUUUCGAGUGUGCUGUGUUGAAGUCACGGCUGCCCACAUCCUCAGCUUCUUUCUGGCCCACAUGGGUGACUCUGGGAGCUCGAGGCAACUCCAGACGCUGUCCGGGAUGCAUCCUUCACCCCCAGGUGGGUCUUCCCAGCAGACCACGUUUCUUGACGCACACGGGUGAGGAGGCCAUGCUCCCAUGUGGGGGCUACAGGCUCAUGUGCUGGAUUCUGCAUUCGGCCUGGACGCAUGGAACCCAGACGGGCAGCUCAUAGCUGACACCCUCAGGAUUGUUCUCAGAGUACCAGAAACCCAGACGAGGGACCCUGGCUCUGUCUGCUGAGGUCCUACAAGACUCCAUCAGCAUAGAUGAAGGUGACCACUCAAUACCACAUGCCAUGGGCCGAUGCCUUUCGCUCACCUACCACAUAGGUCAAGUGUCCCAAGGACAGCCUGGACCUGUAUGUGCCCCAGUAAAAGCCUGGCCUCUGGGGCUUUCUAAAAGGCUGGCUCUGAGGCCCCUACAGAGCACAGUGGCUUGUAUAACUGGGCUCAGAACCCUGUCUUACAAGGCAGAUAUCAUACCUAUUAGAUGACCCAGCCACUGCCCACACCCCGGACCUCGGUCACAGCAGGUGACAGAGAGCUUACAGCUGAUGGCUCACAGCCCAGGAAAGCAUGGGCUGAAACCCAAACUCUGUCACCUUGCUUGGGCUAUGGCCUGCACAGAGACUAUCAGGUGACCAGUUCAGUCAGACUAAGCCCUGGAAAAACAAAGUAAGGCGGGAGGGCCAGCCCUGAGGAGCCGGGCCCAGACUAGGUCUUUUCUUUGCUGUCCCUUUGCAUAGUGGGGCUGACAGGGACAUCAGGCUUUUGAUCCUCUUCUAGGACCACAGUGCCAUUCUCCUCCCUAGAGCUGAGGUGCUGAGGGCCAGAGUCAGAGGCUCCGAGACCCACCUGAGCCAGGUGUGUGCUCCGUCUGUCUUCAGAACCCACCGUCCCAGCCCUUGACUCAUCAGUUUGCCAGGGCCCUUAGCUGUCCAUCAGAGAGAGUCAUCAUGGCUACGCCGGGCGAUCUCAAAGUCCUAAGACAGGAUUGGAACAAGAUGUCACUUGUGAGCCCCACAGCACACAGCAUCUCCACAGUCACUGCGCUUCCAGCCCUGAGGACUCCCCAGGGGCCAGGCACGCUGCCCACACCCUCCCCUUCCAGAACCGGGCUACCUCCCCUCCCCAGGCGCCCGCUGCACCUGUCGCCCUCUCGGAAGCCACAGUUAAACACACUUCGGGGCUUUUAUCAUGGCCUUCUCUAGUGUUAUGAUAAAUAAUUGAAACUAAA